AGGGUUUGAUCAUGGCUCAGAGCGAACGCUGGCGGCAGGCCUAACACAUGCAAGUCGAACGGAUCCUUCGGGAUUAGUGGCGGACGGGUGAGUAACACGUGGGAACGUGCCCUUUGGUUCGGAACAACUCAGGGAAACUUGAGCUAAUACCGGAUGUGCCCUUCGGGGGAAAGAUUUAUCGCCAUUGGAGCGGCCCGCGUCUGAUUAGCUAGUUGGUGGGGUAAAGGCCCACCAAGGCGACGAUCAGUAGCUGGUCUGAGAGGAUGAUCAGCCACAUUGGGACUGAGACACGGCCCAAACUCCUACGGGAGGCAGCAGUGGGGAAUCUUGCGCAAUGGGCGAAAGCCUGACGCAGCCAUGCCGCGUGAAUGAUGAAGGUCUUAGGAUUGUAAAAUUCUUUCACCGGGGACGAUAAUGACGGUACCCGGAGAAGAAGCCCCGGCUAACUUCGUGCCAGCCGCCGCGGUAAUAC
rnacentral:rRNA from 1 species